AUGGGAAGCGCCAGAGCCACCCUCGUCCGCUUCCUGCUGUUGGCCUCGAUCGUCGCCGGGUUCGCGGCGCAUCUCGCCGCGGGGGAGAAGGACUGCUACGACGAGAGGGACAUGAUCAUGAGCAUCUGCAUCGAGAGCAUCAAGAAGCAGGGCUUCUACACGCCCCCGACCCCGGACUGCCGCCGCGAGGUGAAGAAGGUUGACGUGCCCUGCAUCUGCCGGGUCCUCACCGCCUCCGACGAGCGUACCGUCAGCCCCGUGAAGCUCGUCAUCCUCGCCCACGAAUGCCACAUCGAACUCCCCGUCGGGAGCAAAUGCGGAAGUAAGCAGCUAAGCAUGCGUGCGGACAUUUUGCUUGCAUAA
rnacentral:rRNA from 1 species